rnacentral:tRNA from 1 species
GCGUCGAUGUUGGAAUUGGUAGACAAAGGAGACUUAAAAUCUCCAGGGAUUAAACCCGUACGAGUUCGAGUCUCGUUCGACGCACCA